CCAAAUCAGUACUUCAUUUCCCAAACGCACUCUCGUCGUUUUGCCUCUCGCCCUCUCCCAAACUCAGACUCGCCGUACUCAUCCAGUCAACGACCUCGCCGUUCUCAGCCAGUCUGAGACGAACAUCUUUCUGAUCCUGGUUAUCUGAUAUGAAUCUACUUCCCUGUUAAUAUUUACUUGUUCUUAACUUGAAUUCGAAUUAUUCAAUCAAUAAUCAUUCUGUUUUAUUCUUUUUCAGUUUUUCUAUACAUAGACAAGUAGUUCUUUGUUGAUGUGAUUAAUCGAUUAUACAUAGAAAAAAAUUGAAAAAUUUAGCAAGGAACUAAGGACAGAAGUUCUGUUAUAUAUAGAAAAAGACUAGUUAAUCACUUAAUCAUGAACUCUGACUGUAUGAGCCCGUUAUAGUCUCAAGAAGUGUGGGAUAUGUAUUUCGGAAAAGGUUAUUGAUGUAUCAGUAUCACUCAAAGACGGCCUGCUCCACGUCAGCGCCGUGAUUCAUACAACACCGCGCGUCAGGUGCUUCAUCUCCUCAACGAUGGCAAGUGAUACAGUUGCUGGUGGUUCUGCAAAACCAACAGCUCAUGUCCUUGCCCGAUCAGGUCCUUGGGUUAAAGGCUACUCAUCUCGCAAUAGCUCGACACGCCAGUGCCGGCGAUGACAAUCAAUCUCCUGAUCAGCGUCUGGUUUUGAAACUAAAACUGAAAUUUGAUAGGGAUAUAGGAUAGGGAUGGAUGGGUUUAGUUAGAAACAGAGAGGGAUAGGGAUUCAGAUUGAGUGGGUUUAGUCGGAAGCAGAGACGGAGAGGGGUUUUGGGUUGAGUGGGUACGACUUUAAAAAAUAUAUCAGAAGCUUUUAGUAUUUUUUUUUUUUAGGGAUUUUUCAUGAGUUUUUAGUAAAUCUUUUUUUAGGGGAGUAACGUUUUUAUAUACUAAAAUAUACAAAUAUAUUAAUUAUUUGCCGUGUUCAAGCCGUGUCGAGAUUUAGGUUUUUAAGAUUUGCCGUGUCGCCGUGUCCGUGCAACAUAGGUUUCUACAUCUUUGCUUUCAUAGAUGUUUGAUAUAUUAAAUAUAAUGUCAGGGCCAUGUAGAGGUACAGAAGUAGCUAAAGAGAACAUAUAGUGUAGUGUAUAUGUACCAUCUCUUUAAUGAAGAUAAUGAAAGCAUCCAACAUCAGCCGUAUGAAUGUAUAUAUGAAUAUUGAAUAUUGAUUAUUUGCAAAUAAUGUGAUUGGAGUUGGCUUGUUACUUGUUAGGGAAACGGCGGGUUACUACAUCUUCCAUUGGAUGAGAAUAUGGGGCAUUUGUGCACCCUUCAAAUGUAGAUAAGGUAAAGUGCAAGUUGUGUGGGUUUUGGGUUUAUACCAGCUUAAGCAACAUAUUGCUCACGUGAAGGGGAAUGAGGUUUUGUGUAAUAAGUCUUCGGAUGAGGAUAAGAAGUGUAAGAAGGUUGUUGAUGAUGCACAAAGUAAGAAGAGACAAAAGAAUCAACGUGAAGUGGAAGUGAGGCAAGAGGUUAUUAUUGAAGCUGAUGCAGAAGUUGAAGGGAGUCUUGGGCCAAGAACCAACCAUUAUUGAAGGAAGAGGUAGAGAGAGAUAAAAGCCUAUUAAAGAAGCAAGAAGAAUAGUGGGCUUUGAAUGGUUGCUCCAUUAUGACGGAUGCUUGAACCGACAGGAAAAUAAGAAGUAUCAUGAAUUUGUGUGUCGCUUGCAAAGAAGGCACUACUUUUCUUUCUUCUAAGGAAGCAUCGGAUGAAGCACACACCGGUUCCUAUGUAGAUGAUGAAUGAGUUGAGGGCUAUGGUUGCUAGUAGUGAAUGGAGUGCAAGCAAGCAUUCAAAGAGUGCAGCGGUGAAAGCGGUGGCAUUUAAUGCCGCUUUUUGUAACUCUUUGUUUGAAGGUUUUUGCUCUAGCUAAAGUGCUUCAUCUUGUUGAUGGAGAUAAGAAGCCCUCCAUGUGGUUUGCAUAUGGAGAGUUACAUAGAGCAAAAGAGGAGAUUAAAGAGGCAUUCAAGAAUCAAGAACUUCACUUUCGCCCAAUUUUGGAUAUAAUUGAUGUGAAAUGUCAUGAUCGAUUAGAUGGUCCACUUCAUUUAUAGUCCCCCACCUAUUGAACCCUUAUUACACCUAUAAUGAUCCGAGCAUAGAGAAUGAUAAUGUUGUGAUGAAUGGGUUUUUCACUUGUGUGGAAUCGUUCUUUCCCGAUGACUAUGCAAGCCAAAAUGAGGUGACAAAUAAAGAGCUAUUGAAGUACAUGAAGAAAGAGGAUGGUUUUGAAAGAGCAUUGGCUAUGAUAAGCUGCAAAACAAAUGAUGAUACUUAUGACCCGGGUAAGAACUAAGAAAUAAAAUUUUACCAUGUGAUCACUUAUUAAAACUUCAGUAUAUUAAUUUUUUGUUUCUUUUUUGCUUUUGUGUUUGAUAAUUGUUAAUUUGCUAUUGUUUUUGGUUAAUUAUCUUUAGUUGGAUAGUGGUCUCUAUAGAAAUGGUGACUAAAUUGUAAAAAAAAUGGCUAAAAGAAUUCUUUCCUUGACUACAAGUUUGUUCGGUUGUGAGAGAAAUUAGAGCACCUAUGAAGGAGUUGUUCUUAUGAAGUUAUUGUGUACUAAUUUGUUUAAAUAGAUAUCUAACUAUUACUUUGUUAAACAUUUUAUCCUUAUUUUAAAACCUUGCAUAUAUUUGGCUGAAGGCAACAAGGAAGAGAUACUUACAUCCUUCACUUUCACACAAAGAUCUAUCAUGCUCCUGAAAGUUUCGCUAUUUGGCUUCAAAUUGCCUUGGUUAAUCGCUGAAUAGAUUCGGUAAACCUGAAAAUAAAGUGGCAAAAGACACAUAACAACAAUGAAACACAAGACAUUCUCACUAUUAUAAUUUUAGAAGUCAUCUCAAAGUAGUCUUCCAACAUACAGCAACUUUUAAACAUCAUAUGUCACAUGGUCCAAAUCAUAACAUGAGGCUCACAACAUUAAAACUCUUAAGGUCUUGCCCUAUUUUCCUUCAAAGUUUUAGAUGCAGGAAAUGUUAUCAUGGGGUCUACCAUCUUAACCUCCACUAACAACAGUGUAGUCUUGCAAAUUUCAAUUUCAAUUAAACACUGAAUUCAUUUGCAAGCUAC
rnacentral:lncRNA from 1 species